rnacentral:rRNA from 1 species
GAUGAACGUUGGCGGUGUGCCUAAUACAUGCAAGUCGAACGGAGACUGUAGCAAUACUGUCUUAGUGGCGAACGGGUGAGUAACGCGUUGGUGAUCUGCCUCGAAGUGUGGAAUAACCUCCCGAAAGGGAAGCUAAUACCGCAUAGUCUCUCAAGGUUUAGAAAAUUGAGAGUAAAGGAUUUAUUCGCUUCGAGAGGAGCCUGCGUCCCAUCAGCUAGUUGGUAGGGUAACGGCCUACCAAGGCUAUGACGGGUAGCCGGCCUGAGAGGGUGUCCGGCCACACUGGAACUGAGACACGGUCCAGACUCCUACGGGAGGCAGCAGUGGGGAAUUUGCGCAAUGGGGGAAACCCUGACGCAGCGACGCCGCGUGGAGGAUGACGGCCUUCGGGUUGUAAACGUCCUGUCAGAAGGGACGAAAUACCCGCAAGGGACUGACGGUACCUUCACGAGGAAGCCCCGGCUAACCUAACGUGCCAGCAGCCGCGGUAAAGUGUGUGUA